rnacentral:sRNA from 1 species
ACAAAUGUGACGCCGUCAAUUUUUAAUAGCGUCCUUUGUCUGGUAUUGAAUUACCAAAUACCAAAUGAUAUUUAAAAUCUUUGCCAAUUACGCGAACAAAAUAAUACCAGGCGAUAUUGGCAAAGUCCGUCAUUUUUCUAUUAGUGUAGGGCACAGUAAUCAAUUUAAUAAAUGUGCUGAUUUAAUGGCAAAUAGAAUAUCAAUGUUAACAAUUAUCAAAGCAAUAAAUCAGUUUAAAAAUAUUUGUAUAAAUCAAUGCCAUGUUUAAUUGGUCAAAUUUGGGUCAAUAUUUUUUUUGUGUGGGGAAUCGCAUGUGGCGGGUUGGGGUUGUAUGUCGGCAGAAGGAUUUGGUAAUAUAGUAUUUAUUGAUGGAAAUUGUUUCAAAACGUAUUUAAGUAUUUUGAUGCUAUAUUUGUCCUCGAGCGCUGGUAAAAUGGGUUUGUAACAUAAGUAUUUAUGAACCAGUAAGAUAACGACACCACCAAAGCAGUAUCUGACGUUAAAAUGUGUUCUUUACGAAUUAUCUCAAAACACCACGAAUUAUCUCAAAAACCCCCACCGCAAGUUCAGACACCAACCCGAUAGACAAUCUUUAGUCACAUUUGGGAUCCAGGGUUGGAUAACUCAACAUUUUCUCAAGUGCCACAGCAUGAAUGAGACAAAGUCACUCCAGAAAUGUGUCGAAAAUUGGUAGAAUCGAUGCUAAGACGUUUGGAGGCCCUCUGUACCACACAAUUUGUACAUUCAAUUAAAAAAUUGCAGAAAUCUGUCCUAUAAAGGAAUUUUUGUUAUAGGUUAACAAUUGGGAUUUAUGAUAAGAUCAAAAAUCCAAUUAAAAUGAGCUAUGGGAAUAUUAUAAAUAAGAGAAAAAUUACUUGUUAGUUCAAUAUAAAAUGCUGUGUUUGUAAGACGUUUGUUAUUGUAACUCUUAGCUUUUGUUUAUGUGAAAUAUGUGUGAAUUUGUGUCUAAUUAAUUUAUAUCCUUUAUUGCUUAGUGUCUAACCUGAUGGUGCCAACCGAAAAAGGCAAAAUAUUGUUAAAAUAAAUAAAUAAAAAACAAACACCAUUGA